GCCGAGGUGGCUCAGCCUGGUGGAGCGACAGACUCAUAAUCUGUAGGUCGCGGGUUCAAACCCCGCCCUCGGCA
rnacentral:tRNA from 1 species